rnacentral:rRNA from 1 species
GACGAACGCUGGCGGCGUGCUUAACACAUGCAAGUCGAACGAGUGGCGAACGGGUGAGUAACGCUAGGUAACUGCCUGGUAGCGGGGGAUAACUAUUGGAAACGAUAGCUAAUACCGCAUAACCAGAUGACCUGCGUUGUAUUAGCUAGUUGGUGGGGUAAUGGCCUACCAAGCCGACGAUCUCUAGCUGGUCUGAGAGGAUGACCAGCCACACUGGAACUGAGACACGGUCCAGACUCCUACGGGAGGCAGCAGUGGGGAAUAUUGCACAAUGGGCGCAAGCCUGAUGCAGCCAUGCCGCGUGUGUGAAGAAGGCCUUCGGGUUGUAAAGCACUUUCAGCGGGGAGGCGUUAUCACAGAAGAAGCACCGGCUAACUCCGUGCCAGCCGCCGCGGUAAUAC